rnacentral:tRNA from 1 species
GUUUUAAUAAUUUAAUAUAAAAUAUUAAUCUUGUAAAUUAAAAACGAAUUAGUUCUUAAAACA